AGUAGGUGGUGGGAAGCAGAAAUGUGUUUUCUUUCCCUGUGGACACAGAGAUGUCUUCUGCAAUCACUAAAUAAGAAGAUCUUAAAACUGGGUCUGCAAGAGAGCAUGAGUUUGAGAGCAUCCUGUAUUACCAAUUUCAGUGAUUCAACUUUCAGCCAUUGCAUGAAUCAUUAUCAGUACCUCAAGAAAGUAGUAGAAUACAAAAAGAUCUUACUGCUUCUGCCAUUCAUUGUGGUUUUGGAGAGUUUAAUUCUGUCAGCCAUUCUUCACUCUAGAAGAUCCCUAUUUAUUGAAGCAUGGAAGUUUUGUAUGUGCUAAGGAAGAAAAAUGGAAAGGUCCAAGACAAGCUACAAACCUGAGCUAGGAGUACAAACUUUCCUGAUUCUCUUCAGCCAGGGUGCUCCUAUCAUAGUGAAAAAUUACAGAUGAAC